rnacentral:rRNA from 1 species
UACGUAGGGUGCGAGCGUUAAUCGGCAUUACUGGGCGUAAAGCGCGUGUAGGCGGCUAGGCAAGUCGGAUGUGAAAGCCCUGGGCUCAACCCAGGAAGUGCAUUCGAAACUUCCGAGCUUGAGUUCUGGAGAGGAAGGCGGAAUUCUCGGUGUAGAGGUGAAAUUCGUAGAUAUCGAGAGGAACACCGGUGGCGAAGGCGGCCUUCUGGACAGUGACUGACGCUGAGACGCGAAAGCGUGGGGAGCAAACAGG